rnacentral:rRNA from 1 species
GGGUUGUGAGGUUAAGCGACUAAGCGUACACGGUGGAUGCCCUGGCAGUCAGAGGCGAUGAAGGACGUGCUAAUCUGCGAAAAGCGCCGGCGAGGUGAUAUGAACCCUUGACCCGGCGAUGUCCGAAUGGGGAAACCCAGUGUGAUUCGUCACACUAUCGUUAACUGAAUACAUAGGUUAACGAGGCGAACCGGGGGAACUGAAACAUCUAAGUACCCCGAGGAAAAGAAAUCAACCGAGAUUCCCCCAGUAGCGGCGAGCGAACGGGGAGCAGCCCAGAGUCUGAAUCAGCUUGUGUGUUAGUGGAAGCGUCUGGAAAGUCGCACGGUACAGGGUGACAGUCCCGUACACGAAAAUGCACAGGCUGUGAACUCGAAGAGUAGGGCGGGACACGUGGUAUCCUGUCUGAAUAUGGGGGGACCAUCCUCCAAGGCUAAAUACUCCUGACUGACCGAUAGUGAACCAGUACCGUGAGGGAAAGGCGAAAAGAACCCCGGCGAGGGGAGUGAAAAAGAACCUGAAACCGUGUACGUACAAGCAGUGGGAGCACCUUCGGGUGUGACUGCGUACCUUUUGUAUAAUGGGUCAGCGACUUAUAUUCUGUAGCAAGGUUAACCGUAUAGGGGAGCCGAAGGGAAACCGAGUCUUAACUGGGCGUUAAGUUGCAGGGUAUAGACCCGAAACCCGGUGAUCUAGCCAUGGGCAGGUUGAAGGUUGGGUAACACUAACUGGAGGACCGAACCGACUAAUGUUGAAAAAUUAGCGGAUGACUUGUGGCUGGGGGUGAAAGGCCAAUCAAACCGGGAGAUAGCUGGUUCUCCCCGAAAGCUAUUUAGGUAGCGCCUCGUGAACUCAUCUUCGGGGGUAGAGCACUGUUUCGGCUAGGGGGCCAUCCCGGCUUACCAACCCGAUGCAAACUACGAAUACCGAAGAAUGUUAUCACGGGAGACACACGGCGGGUGCUAACGUCCGUCGUGAAGAGGGAAACAACCCAGACCGCCAGCUAAGGUCCCAAAGUCAUGGUUAAGUGGGAAACGAUGUGGGAAGGCCCAGACAGCCAGGAUGUUGGCUUAGAAGCAGCCAUCAUUUAAAGAAAGCGUAAUAGCUCACUGGUCGAGUCGGCCUGCGCGGAAGAUGUAACGGGGCUAAACCAUGCACCGAAGCUGCGGCAGCGACACUAUGUGUUGUUGGGUAGGGGAGCGUUCUGUAAGCCGUUGAAGGUGGCCUGUGAGGGUUGCUGGAGGUAUCAGAAGUGCGAAUGCUGACAUAAGUAACGAUAAAGCGGGUGAAAAGCCCGCUCGCCGGAAGACCAAGGGUUCCUGUCCAACGUUAAUCGGGGCAGGGUGAGUCGACCCCUAAGGCGAGGCCGAAAGGCGUAGUCGAUGGGAAACAGGUUAAUAUUCCUGUACUUGGUGUUACUGCGAAGGGGGGACGGAGAAGGCUAUGUUAGCCGGGCGACGGUUGUCCCGGUUUAAGCAUGUAGGCGGAGGUUCCAGGUAAAUCCGGUACCUUUUAACGCUGAGGUGUGAUGACGAGGCACUACGGUGCUGAAGUAACAAAUGCCCUGCUUCCAGGAAAAGCCUCUAAGCAUCAGGUAACACGAAAUCGUACCCCAAACCGACACAGGUGGUCAGGUAGAGAAUACCAAGGCGCUUGAGAGAACUCGGGUGAAGGAACUAGGCAAAAUGGUGCCGUAACUUCGGGAGAAGGCACGCUGAUAUGUAGGUGAAGCCCCUGCGGGUGGAGCUGAAAUCAGUCGAAGAUACCAGCUGGCUGCAACUGUUUAUUAAAAACACAGCACUGUGCAAACACGAAAGUGGACGUAUACGGUGUGACGCCUGCCCGGUGCCGGAAGGUUAAUUGAUGGGGUUAGCGGCAACGCGAAGCUCUUGAUCGAAGCCCCGGUAAACGGCGGCCGUAACUAUAACGGUCCUAAGGUAGCGAAAUUCCUUGUCGGGUAAGUUCCGACCUGCACGAAUGGCGUAAUGAUGGCCAGGCUGUCUCCACCCGAGACUCAGUGAAAUUGAACUCGCUGUGAAGAUGCAGUGUACCCGCGGCAAGACGGAAAGACCCCGUGAACCUUUACUAUAGCUUGACACUGAACACUGGUCCUUGAUGUGUAGGAUAGGUGGGAGGCUUUGAAGCGUGGACGCCAGUCUGCGUGGAGCCAACCUUGAAAUACCACCCUUUAAUGGCUGGUGUUCUAACGUAGACCCGUAAUCCGGGUUGCGGACAGUGUCUGGUGGGUAGUUUGACUGGGGCGGUCUCCUCCCAAAGAGUAACGGAGGAGCACGAAGGUUAGCUAAUCCUGGUCGGACAUCAGGAGGUUAGUGCAAUGGCAUAAGCUAGCUUGACUGCGAGAGUGACGGCUCGAGCAGGUGCGAAAGCAGGUCAUAGUGAUCCGGUGGUUCUGAAUGGAAGGGCCAUCGCUCAACGGAUAAAAGGUACUCCGGGGAUAACAGGCUGAUACCGCCCAAGAGUUCAUAUCGACGGCGGUGUUUGGCACCUCGAUGUCGGCUCAUCACAUCCUGGGGCUGAAGUAGGUCCCAAGGGUAUGGCUGUUCGCCAUUUAAAGUGGUACGCGAGCUGGGUUUAGAACGUCGUGAGACAGUUCGGUCCCUAUCUGCCGUGGGCGCUGGAGAAUUGAGGGGGGCUGCUCCUAGUACGAGAGGACCGGAGUGGACGCAUCACUGGUGUUCGGGUUGUCAUGCCAAUGGCACUGCCCGGUAGCUAAAUGCGGAAGAGAUAAGUGCUGAAAGCAUCUAAGCACGAAACUUGCCCCGAGAUGAGUUCUCCCUGACCCUUUAAGGGUCCUGAAGGAACGUUGAAGACGACGACGUUGAUAGGUCGGGUGUGUAAGCGCAGCGAUGCGUUGAGCUAACCGAUACUAAUGAACCGUGAGGCUUAACCUUACAACGCCGAAGCUGUU